UCGUACAUACUACAUGGAUAACUGUAGUAAUUCUAGAGCUAAUACAUGCCACUAUGCCCUGACCCGCGAGGGAACGGGUGGAUUUAUUAGAACAGAACCAACCGGGGGCGGCUUCGGUCGUCCCUGUUGCAUUCUGUGAUGACUCUGGAUAACUUCACUGAUCGCAGUCGGCCUUGUGUCGGCGACGGAUCUUUCAAAUGUCUGCCCUAUCAAUUUUCGAUGGUAGGUGACCUGCCUACCAUGGUGCUAACGGGUAACGGGGAAUCAGGGUUCGAUUCCGGAGAGGGAGCCUGAGAAACGGCUACCACUUCCAAGGAAGGCAGCAGGCACGCAAAUUACCCAAUCCCGGCACGGGGAGGUAGUGACGAAAAAUACGGAUACGGGACUCACUAGAGGCUCCGUAAUUCGAAUGAGUACAAUUUAAAUCCUUUAACGAGGAUCAACUGGAGGGCAAGUCUGGUGCCAGCAGCCGCGGUAACUCCAGCUCCAGAAGCGUAUAUUAAAGUUGUUGCAGUUAAAAAGCUCGUAGUUGGAUCUGGGUCGCAUGGCUACAUGCCGUCGCUCGUGGGUCUGGCCUGGUUACUGCCGGGUUGAGCUUGCGAGUCGGUCUCGUGGUUGUGCUUCCUUUCUGCUGUGUCUGUUUACAGGUGUCAGCGUGACUGGUGGGCUUGCCUGCUAGUCUGUUGGCAUGCUUCUUGGUGCCUUUAAUCGGGUGUCGGAGGCGGACAGCACGUUUACUU
rnacentral:rRNA from 1 species